AAGUCGUAACAAGGUUUCCGUAGGUGAACCUGCGGAAGGAUCAUUAACACGCUUUUAUCCAAUAUAUAAACUAACGUGAACUCAAACCCCCGCCCUAGCAUCGCUAGUAUCUGAUCUGUGACUUUAGGCUACUAAAUGAAGUUGUUGUCUGUCUCUGAUAGACUUCGGUUUUGUUAGUGACUUUAAAGUUAUGAAUUGGAUGAUGCUAGGCUAUUUUUAAACAUUAUAAACCUUAUAACAUUAAAAUGAACUAAUACUAAGGCAUUCUAGUCUUCAUUCAGUCAUUGACUGUAAUGAAUACUGCUUGUUGUUAUAUUACGAAAUGUAUUGAACAACUCUUAGCAAUGGAUAUCUUGGUUCUC
rnacentral:misc_RNA from 1 species